rfam:Canis lupus familiaris chromosome 23, whole genome shotgun sequence.
GCCUGGGUAGCUCAGUGGUUGAGCAUCUGCCUUUGGCUCAGGGCGUGAUCCUGGAAUCCUGGGAUCAAGUCCCACAUCAGGCU